rnacentral:rRNA from 1 species
CACAUGCAAGUCGAACGAUGAAACCUAGCUUGCUAGGUGGAUUAGUGGCGCACGGGUGAGUAAUAUAUAGGUAAUGUGCCUCUUAGUCUGGGAUAGCCAUUGGAAACGAUGAUUAAUACUGGAUACUCCUUCUAACUCUAAUGUUAGUCGGGAAAGUUUUUCGCUAAGAGAUCAGCCUAUAUCCCAUCAGUUAGUUGGUAAGGUAACGGCUUACCAAGGCAAUGACGGGUAGCGGGUUUGAGAGGAUGAUCCGCCACACUGGUACUGAGACACGGACCAGACUCCUACGGGAGGCAGCAGUGAGGAAUAUUGCACAAUGGGGGAAACCCUGAUGCAGCAACGCCGCGUGGAGGAUGACGCAUUUCGGUGUGUAAACUCCUUUUAUAUGUCAAGAAAAUGACGGUAGCAUAUGAAUAAGCACCGGCUAACUCCGUGCCAGCAGCCGCGGUAAUACGGAGGGUGCAAGCGUUACUCGGAAUCACUGGGCGUAAAGGACGCGUAGGCGGAUUGGAAAGUCAGAUGUGAAAUCCUACAGCUUAACUGUAGAACUGCAUUUGAAACUUCUAAUCUAGAGUAUGGGAGGGGGAGAUGGAAUUAGUGGUGUAGGGGUAAAAUCCGUAGAUAUCACUAGGAAUACCGAAAGCGAAGGCGAUCUCCUGGAACAUUACUGACGCUAAGGCGUGAAAGCGUGGGGAGCAAACAGGAUUAGAUACCCUGGUAGUCCACGCCCUAAACGAUGAACACUAGUCGUCGGGAUGCUUGUCAUCUCGGUGAUGCACUUAACAGAUUAAGUGUUCCGCCUGGGGAGUACGGUC